rnacentral:tRNA from 1 species
AAGGUCUUAAGUUAUCCAAACUAAUAGCCUUCAAAGCUAUAAAUAAAACUAAUCUUUUAGACUUUA